CUCCGCGAAAGCGGAGCUAAUACCGCAUAAGACCACAGGCUGAGAAGUCAGUGGUAAAAGUUUCCUGAUGAAAGUUGUGGAAUGCUUGAGGAUGGGCCUGCGGCCUAUCAGGUAGUCGGUAGGGUAAUAGCCUACCAAGCCAAAGACGGGUAGCCGGGCUGAGAGGUCGGACGGCCACACUGGAACUGAGACACGGUCCAGACUCCUACGGGAGGCAGCAGUGGAGAAUUUGCACAAUGGGCUAAAGCCUGAUGCAGCGACGCCGCGUGGAGAAUGAAGGUCUUCGGGUUGUAAACUCCUUUUCUCAGGAAAGAUGAUGACGGUACCUGAGGAAUAAGCCACGGCUAACUCUGUGCCAGCAGCCGCGGGAAGACAGAGGUGGCAAGCGUUGUUCGGAAUUACUGGGCUUAAAGGGCGCCGUAGGCGUCCCGACAAGUCAGAUGUGGAAUCUUCUCGCUUAACGAGAAAAUUGCAUCUGAAACUGUCGGGAUUGAGUCAGAGAGGGGAGGG
rnacentral:rRNA from 1 species